CGUAGGUGAACCUGCGGAAGGAUCAUUAUUGAAUUCUAUGGAGGGGGGAGACUGUCGCUGGCCCUCGGGCAUGUGCACGUCUUCCUUUCUCUCAUACACACACCUGUGCACCUGUUGUAGGUCCUCGAAAGAGGAGCUAUGUUUUUCACAUCACACCCCGUCGUAUGUCUAUAGAAUGUGUUGAAAACGUCGACCUGUUUGACAGGCCGGCGGACAAUAAAAUUAUACAACUUUCAGCAACGGAUCUCUUGGCUCUCGCAUCGAUGAAGAACGCAGCGAAUUGCGAUAAGUAAUGUGAAUUGCAGAUUUUCAGUGAAUCAUCGAAUCUUUGAACGCACCUUGCGCUCCUUGGUAUUCCGAGGAGCAUGCCUGUUUGAGUGUCAUCGAAUUCUCAACCAUGUCUUGAUUUAUUUCGAGGCAUGGCUUGGAGUUGGGGGUUGCUGGCGGCGAAAUGCGGUCGGCUCUCCUGAAAUGCAUUAGCAAAGGGUGGCAAGUCUUGGACAUGCACGGCCUUCGACGUGAUAAUGAUCGUCGUGGCUGGAGUGUCGGACAUGCAUGAAUGGUCCAUUGCUUCCAAUCCCUACCUAGGCUAGCCUUGAGUCGCUUAGCUACUAGUCGGUCGUGAGGCCGACGAACGUUGGGAGGCGAGGGCUUGUCUGUUUCGAAACUGACCUCAAAUCA
rnacentral:rRNA from 1 species